rnacentral:rRNA from 1 species
ACAAUGGGCGCAAGCCUGAUCCAGCAAUGCCGCGUGUGUGAAGAAGGCCCUCGGGUUGUAAAGCACUUUUAUCAGGAGCGAAAUCUGCCCGGUUAAUACCCUGGUAGUCUGACGGUACCUGAGGAAUAAGCACCGGCUAACUCCGUGCCAGCAGCCGCGGUAAUACGGAGGGUGCAAGCGUUAAUCGGAAUUACUGGGCGUAAAGCGUGCGUAGGCGGUUCGUUAAGUCUGCUGUGAAAGCCCCGGGCUCAACCUGGGAAUGGCAGUGGAUACUGGCGAGCUAGAGUGUGAUAGAGGAUGGUGGAAUUCCCGGUGUAGCGGUGAAAUGCGUAGAGAUCGGGAGGAACAUCAGUGGCGAAGGCGGCCAUCUGGAUCAACACUGACGCUGAGGCACGAAAGC